AUAUUGAACCUGAGUUAGAAGAACUUAUUAAGUCAAUAGAACUUGCAAAAUCGGUUAACCAAGAGCCCUUUAAAACCAUAUUAAAAAGGGAGUAUCGACCUCACUUGGUGAUGGCAUUUGCAAUCCCAUUUUUCCAACAACUUACCGGGAUCAACAUCGUCGCUUUCUAUUCACCUAACCUCUUCCAUUCUGUGGGCUUGGGACGUGACGGCGCUUUAAUUUCCGCCAUUGUACUUGGAUCCGUUAGCCUUGUGUCUAACGUUAUCUCUGCCGGUAUUGUUGAUCGAUUUGGUCGAAGAUUCCUGUUCAUAACUGGGGGUAUUAUGAUGUUUGUCUGCUUGGUAAGCGAAAUAACAACCUAACUUACUAUUUAUUAAAUUUAUUUUCAGUCCUAACAAACUAUAAUAUUCAUGUGUCACCUACUAAUUAAAUUGUUUGAACAAUGUGAAGAUUGCUGUGUCCAUUGUGCUAGCAGUGGUGUCUGGUGUUGACGGUACAAACGACAUAUCCAAGGGGAAUGCAAUAUUAGUAUUGGUGCUAUUAUGUUUAUACUCUGCUGGUUUUGGUUGGUCAUGGGGUCCUCUAACAUGGCUUAUUCCAAGUGAGAUUUUCCCAGUAAAUAUAAGAACCACAGGACAAAGCAUAGCUAUUGCUAUACAAUUCAUAAUAGUAUUUGUGCUAUCACAAACAUUCUUGACAAUGUUAUGUCACUUUAAGUUUGGAGCCUUCUUGUUCUAUGCUGGUUGGGUUGCUGUGAUGACUCUUUUUAUUAUAUUUUUCUUGCCUGAGACUAAAGGAAUUCCUUUGGAUUCAAUGUACACCAUAUGGGAAAAACAUUGGUUUUGGUGUCGAUUUGUUAAAGGAGAAGAUCGUCAAGAAAAUCAUCCAUGAAGUUUGUAAGUAAAGGAUGAAAAAUUAUUUAUGUUUUGUGUAAAUUGUAUAAUUUGAAACACCAUUUACCACUUUAAAUAUUAGUUAUACUCCCUCCGUCCCAAAUUGUAUGACGUUUUGGGCAUUUCACACAUAUUAAGAAAUGCAAUUAAUAUUGUGUGGAAAUGAGAUAUUAUGAGUUGUUUUACAAAAUUGUCCUUAAUAAAUAAUAUGGGAAAGAUAAAUGAAAUAAUUGAAAGAAGAUGGAGUAAUAAAUAGUUAAGGUUAUAAUAGGAAAAGUAACAUUAAUGUUGCAUUGGUAUUGUAAAGCGACCUAUAAUUUGGGACAAAUCUUUUCUCCUAAAGCGACAUACAAUUUGGGACGGAGGGAAUAUAUUUUAUAAAAGUCAAUGCCAAUGUAUCAUAUUCUAUGCAAAUUCUGUAUUGACUUUAUAAAAAUUAAUCAACAAUAGAAAAUGUAUUCACUAGUGUCUUAAAAAUUAAAAAUAAUUUGUUGAUGUUUUCUAGUGUUUAAAUAGUUUAUAUUAGUUGAUUUUUUUAUCUCUAAUUGUGUUAUUGUCAAUUAUUAAUAAACGACACAACCAUUCGAAAACUAGAGAAAUGUGAAAAAGCUAACCAUGUGUACCGAUUAAAUAUGGUUUAAAAAUGAAAAUAAAAUAUCUUGAAAAGGGUUGUCCCCGCGAGCUUAGCUCAGUUGGCGAAGACAUUGCAUAAUUUAUGCAGGGGCAGGGGUUCGAAUCGAACCCUGACAUCCCACUUCCCCACACAUUAUAAAUGUGGAGCUCCAGCCAUAUUAAAUGUUUUUAUUUCCAAUUGAAACUUUUUUUCUCCUAAGGAUUUAGAUUUUGUAAAUUUAUUGAUCUGUUAACAAAAGAUGACAAAAUAAGUGGAAAGAUGAAGAAGUUAGGGUUUCAAUUAUAUUAAUAGCCAAUAACCUAGGUCCAAUUGACUAUUAUCAUACAUCUUCGUGCAAAUUUACGAUGCGUUAACAGGAACCAUCGAGAGUUUCUCAUUUAGAAAAUGAAAAACUGCACUCAAUAGUUAAUAAUAUAAACACAAAACAUAAAAUAUUUUAACACUCUCCCUCAAGUUAAAUCUUGUUAAUCUUACAAGAAACUUGAUAUUUAGCGACAACAAAAAACCGUAGGUUUGACCAUAGGUAUAACACCAAAUACCUAUACGUACGACAGUUUUUUUGAUUUGGUCCAUCAGAAAUAAUUAGAUGGUUUAAAUUGAUUCUUUAUGAAGAAUUAGUUUGUCUUUCUAAACAAGCCUUUUAUUUGGUGGGUAAUAUCAAUGAAUCUUAAGGCUGCAAACUUUUAAAUAGUGUGCCUGUAAGUUUGCCGUUACAAUAACCUAUAAGGACGGACUUUUGUCCAUUGGACAAAACAAUAUGGGUUUUACCUACGGACUUUAGGCGUAGGUAUAGAGCUUAAUCUGUAGCAACAACCAAUAUACUCACAUCAUGAUGCUUUAUUGCUUUAUUAAAAUUUUAUUUUACAAUAUUAAUUUAAUUAAAAACUAAAUCAACAAAUUAAACAAAAGAAUAUAUAAAACAAUAAAAUAAAACUUCAAUUAUAUUAGAUAUACUAACAUCUUGUAACCAAAAAAGAUAUACUCACAUCUGAAGGUUGUGAAACAAAGUGAGGAGAAGGAGAAUCACACAUAUAAGGUUCAAUCUAUGAACUUUUUGGGGUUAAAUCUGAAGAGAGGGAAGAAAAAAGAGGGAAAUUUAACAAAUAGAUGAAUUGGGGGGAAUGUUGACAGUUAUACAUUUGAUCAUUCACCGCUCUUUCUCUCUUUCAUUUCGAUUUUUUUGGAGGGGAGAAUCUUACCUACAGUUUUCUUGUCCAUCACUAUAAACCUCCGUUGGUAUAUGUCAAUUUUCUUAGUUUUAAGAUUGUCAUAAAAAAUUAGAGAUCAACAAAAUCAACUAAUAUAAUAAUUAACCGAGAUGAGCAACCAAAAGAAUGAGCCGCAGUCAAAGUAGAGGAACCAAUAUAUAUAGAAUCCAAAGAGAAGAACUAUCAUACAGAUGAGAGAGGAACCAACACACUAAUACUCUAAUAGAUAAAGAACAACCAAAGAAGAAGCAACAACAAAAGAGAGGAAACAUCAGAUAGAAGAACAAUUAAAAGAGGAGCAGUAGCAGUCAUAUCAAACAAUAAGAAAUGAACCAACAAAGAGAGAGAGAGAGAGAGAGAGAGAGAGAGAGAGAGAGAGAGAGAGAACAGCCAAUAGAAGAAGCAACGACCAAACACACAAACAAAUAGAGAGAUGAACAACCUAAAAACAAGCAGCAACCAUAUGAAACAAUCACACAUAAAAAUGGUUUCCAUGGAUUGAACAUGAGUGAACAAACUGUGGAUCGUUCCAUUUUUUGCUUUUCAGAUCCCUUAUUGCAAUUUAAAUCAACUUGAAUUGGAUUGUUUAUAAAGAUCCUAAUUGAUAUAAAUGUUUUAUAUAAAUCUAUUAAAUAAAUAAUUUUCCCUACGUAUUGUUUUGCACAAGUUCUAGUGGCCGGUUGCUGAAGAUGUUUAAGAGCUGCAUAUCAAAAUUGUUGCUAAUGCGCUUAAAAAACAAGCUUAAGCUUAUGAUAGGCCACAGACCGAACUUAGAUCCUAAAAUUUUUUAUAGGCAGACUUAGGUGUUUCAAAGCCUAGCUCUGGAUGACCUAUUCUCAUCCCUAAUUGCAUUGCAGCACAAGUUUUAUAUAAAUCUAUUAGAUGGGAUUUGUAUUCUACUAUUUUUCUUGCCGUUGUAAUUUUGCGUUUUGUGGUAAUGCAGGAGUUAAUUUUGUCUAUCGGAUGCAUCCACUAGCAUUAUAUUUUUGUAAUUGGUCUGCAUCUUACUUUCUUUAAUUUGCUGUUAACUUUGACAUUUCUUGUGACUGUUAGCCCUCUGCUCUUUAUAAAACUGUCUUUCAAAAAAAAAAUAAAAGCAUAGUUUUAAAAACCGGUUCGGACCGGCCAAUCGAACCAGUUCGAUCGGGAACCAGUGGCUUUGCCGGAUUCAUAUAUUGAAUUGGUUAUGUAAAUAAACCGAUACAAACCGUAAGACUCGCUAUAAACCGGUUAAAACCGACGACUCGGCCGGUUUUUAGAGUCAAACCGGUUUAAUAUUAAUUAAUGCGACAUUUUAAAACUAUGAAUAAAAGUAAAUGAUUUCACCGUAAUUGUUGAAAAUUUAGCUGUAUAAAUUUAAAUAAUAUUAAUAUAUAAACAAAUGGGGUUCCAAUAACUUACAAAUUACAACUAUUCUAAAGUUAAGUUGAUUUAAGAGUGUAAACUUCUACUUGUAUUAAGCCCGUUAACAGUCAACUCAUAGCAGAUCAAUUACCCCAUUCGACACCUAAUUUCUGGUUUUAUUAUAUAAACAUUGCUAAAUUGUGUAAUAGAAGACUUCUUUUAGUAUCAGUGUACACCUUCCGGUCACUAUUAUAAACAAAAAUUAUUAACAUUUUAAUUUCAUUUAUUAAAUUAUGUAUGUGGUAUAUAAUAAAGACCAUAUAUAUUAUUAAUAGAAUGAACUUAAAAUGAAUUUUUUUGCAUGUGCAAAUAAUGUCCGGAGGGUGUAUAUUACAUGUGCAAAUAAUGAAGUGUUAUUUAGUUAUUACAAAACAAAUGAUUUAUCAAUAAAAGAUUGAACAAAUUGCUAUCAUCUAACACACAAACAAAAAUGUCAACACAUAUGCAUUGCUUGCGUGUGCUACAUGUAGACGAUUUAUUAUCAUCAAUUCUAGCUUAAAUAAUGUACCAUAAUGAAAAAAAGUAAGUGCUAGUAGUACUAGAUUAAAUUUAAUUGAUCAAGUUGGUGUGUAUUAUUAACAAGACCAAGUAUCUGCAAGGUCUCAAAUUUGUGAAAGGGUCCCACACCAGGCUGACUCAGCAAAAGAGAUUGAAUCCUAGGUAAAGGGACAUGCCCAAAAAAUAUCUUUAAGACCUAUUAUGGAAGCUGAAAUUUGUCGGGGCCGGAUGUGAUUUUUCAACUGUGAUUAUCUUUACCUCAAGCAAAUGAUGCAGAGGGAAUAACUUUGUCUCUCAGCUUUGGUUUCCAUAACUUCUUUAGUAGAGCGUUAGAUACGAUUGUUUUUGGAUUUAAGAUAUACACUAAAAAAUGCAUAAAAAUAAAAGCAAAAAGAUAGAGGGAUAAAUGACUAAAAAACUUAUUUGAUUGAUUGGAUGUAAUAAUUACUAUGUAUGAACGGUGUAUUUAUAGUAUAGUAUAAUUAUUGCCUACUAGCCGCCAAACGACAUGGCCUACAAUGCUUAAAUCUUCAUUCAGCUAGUUUUGCGGGUACUGGGUGAUAACUCCCAUCCUAGCGGGAUCGUGGUGCCCCAUGUUCAGCUUCAGCCUUCCCUUCUGUUCAUGAAUGACUUUUGGCCCACAACUUUACUAGAAAACGUGUCUUCUCCCUCACCACUCAAGUGGUUACUGAUGCUACGAACAUGGAACAUAGGUUUAGCGUGUCAUUGUCCAAAUCCACUAUGUUUGACUCAGUUAUCAGUCUAUGAAAACUAAUGUUUUAAGUUAAUGACCUUAAGAAAAAAUCAGCUCUUUCGCGCGGUCUAACAUCUCCUAACCUUCGCUCGUCUCAGAGACUUCCUCGUCUAAUAAUUUAACCAUCUGUUUGCUGAGAUUGGCUAUGAGAUUAUUAUUUUUAAGUGUAAACAAGACCUAAGAUAUCAUUCAAAACUAACCUUAGACCUAGCUCUAGCUAGACAAGAACAUAAUUACAAUAUUAUCUUUAAAUUCAUCAAUUCCGUAUAUAAAAAAUUAAAUUGAAGAAAUUGCCGGGGUUAAUUAUCUACUGUUAUUUAAAAUUUUCAUGUCACAAUCGAAAAUUACUCUCUUCUAAAUGGCAUUAUAAGUGGCGCAUUUGUCAACCACUCUAUUUGAGACAACUCAGUUGGAUAAAGUAACCCAACCUUUUAAGGGUGUAACUUCCUUACCCACUUAGAUUGUCACAUAAACAUUAGUAAACUGUGCAAAUAAUGAGUGUACCUUAGUUACUACCAAACAAAUGAUUUAUCAAUAAAAGAUAUUAACAAUUGCUAUUUGCUAUCGCCUGUCACAGACACAGACAAAAUGUCAUCACAUAUGCACUGCGUGCGUGUGCUGUUUUGAUGUAUUAUGACCAGUCAAUUCUAGCUUCAAGAACGUACUCAAGUCAAACAAAAAAAAAGCUUAAAGAAUGUACCAUAACCAGCAAUGUUGUACUUAAUUAAAUUUAAUUGAUCAAGUUGGUCGGGCCUAUAAGAUCAAAGUUGUGGGGAUAUCUUGGAGCGCAAGUCAAAGGUUCUAGUUACGGUGAGUUAGCAAACAAAAAAUGUCAUCUCGACUCAUAUAAUUAAAAUAUAUGUAUAAACAUUUGAUGUGAUGAGGUGUAGGUUCGAAUCCACAAUUUUUUACUUCUAAGCACUUAGUGUCUAUAUGAGUUUCGUCGUUGGAGCCUUUAAAAACAAAACUACAAAUACUUUAUAGAAAAACAAUAAUCAUCCUAUAGUAUGCUCUAACUUCUAAUCCAAAUAGUUCCAUUUAGCAAAAGACAAACAUGCAUGCAUGUGCAACCCCUUGGCCUAUAAAUUAGUUUCCCCAUUUCUAAUUAUGAGCGUCCCAACCAGCAUAGAAUUAAACUAACAGUGAUUCACCCAUAAAGUUAAGUUUGGUGCUAUAUUUUAGAACCUUAAAGGUAGAUAUAUCCUUAGACAAAACAGCGUUCGAAAAUGGCUGGUGGGGUUUUACCAGUGGAUAGUACACCAGUGGCAGUAACUGCCAUCAAUAUUGGUGGCAAGUUAACACUCUCAAUCAUCAUUACCUGCAUAGUUGCUGCAUCCGGUGGCCUUCUUUAUGGAUAUGAUCUCGGAGUUUCAGGUUUUUUUUUUCUUCUGCGUUUAUUCCAUAAAUUUUUCAGUCUAUCUAUCAAAUUUAAAAGAUUAUUUAUAUCUAAUUUCACAUAUUUUUUUUUUUCAAUUUAUUAAAUUUCAGGAGGUGUUACAACGAUGGUGCCAUUUCUCCAAAAAUUCUUUCCAGACAUUCUGAGAAAGGCAGCCAGUGCCGAAGUGAAUAUGUAUUGUGUGUAUGAUAGUCAAAUAUUGACACUAUUUACGUCUUCUCUUUAUCUAGCUGGAUUAGUGUCAUCCAUUGCAGCUAGCAAAGUCACGGCGGCUUAUGGUCGGAGAAACGUCAUCAUAAUAGGAGGUGCUCUCUUCAUUGCCGGUGGCGCCAUUAAUGGUGGUUCGGAAAAUAUCCCCAUGCUCAUUUUGGGUCGUGUUCUUCUUGGGUUUGGGGUUGGUUUCACUAAUCAAGUAAGUUUGCAUGUGUAAAACAUUAUUUAAUUUUAUUCUAGACUUCAAUUUGAUUUUUUGUUUUGGUAGACUUAUACACUAAGUCUGGUAAAAAAAAGUUGCAAUGAGUACUCUAACCUAUCACAUAAAAAAGGGAUUUAAUUACCAUCGCUUGUAGGAAUAUAGAAAUGGAGUAUAUUGUUUCAAAAAAAAAGUAUGGAGAAUAUGUAAUUCGUUAUAAUUGCUCAUUUUUCUUUCUUUCUUGAUCAUGACUUCUCUACUUGUUUUAGUUUUUAUAUCUCUUUCACUCUCCUCUGAUUUAUACAUGCACCCCAUGAAAUAUGAAAAAACAAUCAUUAUCAACAUAGCGUACAAACACGGACUAAUCAAAUUACUCACUAAAUAAAAGAAGUCAAAAUAAGAAAAAUAAAGGCCAACAUGUUCCCAUCUAUUAUAACUUAUAAAAAUGUUCCCGUUGUAUUAUAGUAUCCAUUAGGUCCUUUGAAAAGGUCAAUAUUAAAAAUUAGUUAUUAAUUAAAUUGAUUUUUCCCAUUUGUACAAAAUACGAGACCUCUAACUCCCUUUAACUCAUAGCACAAAAUCUAGACAUUUUUAUUUUUGUUAAGACUUUAUAACUAGUUUGUGACUAUGUUUUGGCUCGUUUCUAAGCACAUCCUUUGCAUGAUUGAGAUUUUUAUUCAUUAAUAUAUUGUUUUUUCUUCUUAAAAAAAUUCUUUUAACUCCUCCACUAACACCGGUUGAUCUAUUGCUUGCUUAAAAAAAAAAAAAAACACCGGUUGAUCUCUAUUCAACCUCCCUUAAAAGAAAUAAUUGUUACAUUUUUUUCCUCUAAAAGUACUUCUAGCAUGUAAUAGAUGAAUUCCCAUACAUAUUCUACCUACACCCCUACAUACAGUACUCUCUUAAAUUUUAUCUUGUCUUUUUUAUAAGACGUCUUGCAAAUUUUUAAUUGCAUCAAUUAUUUCUUUAUCAACAUACUAAUAUCUAUAUCACUUCUUUUUUCUGCAAUUUAUAAUAAAUAUAAAUAUAAUGAUAAAAACAUAAACUAUAAUUCUUUCUCAUGGACAAUGAACUUGCAAAAUGAUUUCUAUUAGUAACAUAUUUAGUAAUUCUACUAUCUUUAUCAUGGUUGUCAAACUCGCGAGUAGACGCGUACGAGUUUAAGAGGCUAAAAUGAUUAGAAUCCUACAUAAAAUAUUUUUUUUUGUAAUUCUACUAUUAUGAUAAGGCGAUAUUUAAGAAGGAACUAGAACCUUAUUUAUAUAUAUAUAUAUAUAUUUUGCGUGCGUGCGUCCGUGUCAUUAAUAAGGUUUUGUCACAUUCAUGUUUUUUAAAAGUCACUUUUAAUUUUCCAUAGACUCAUACGAGUCUACAACUCGAGUUUAAGAGUCAAAUCUAUAAACUAUUUAUAAGUCUGUGUAAAUUCGUGAGUUUGACAAGCUUGAUUUUUAUUAAUUCUUAUGUUUUGAUCAACAGAAUCCUAGAUACAUAUACUACUAAAAAAAAUAGUGAGGGAUUUUUGGGAUGAAAAACGUGAUAUAUCUCUCUAAUACCGUCAAGAAAUUUUGUGAUGAAGAAAUUGUUGAGAAAUUUCAUUUUUUUAUUCAAUAAUUUUGUUUCGUCAUUAAUUUUCCUUUAUUAUCAAUCAUCAUCCUUAUUAUAUUAUGACAUUUUACAAUUGGAAAAGGCUGCACCGUUGUACCUAUCUGAAACUGCUCCCCCAAAAUGGCGAGGCACUUUUAACACGGGCUUUCAGUUCUUCUUGGGAAUUGGUGUAGUCGCUGCCGGCUGCAUAAACUACGCCACGGCCAAGCACACAUGGGGAUGGAGACUCUCUCUUGGACUUGCAGUGGUUCCUGCAGCUGUGAUGACAAUCGGUUCCUUCCUCAUUACCGAUACACCAAACGGCUUGGUAGAACGUGGUAAGAUAGAGCAAGCCAAACAAGCCUUACGCAAAAUUAGAGGAUCCUCGGUUGAUAUUGAACCCGAGUUAGAAGAACUUAUCAAGUGGACAGAAAUUGCGAAAUCAGUGCAACAAGAGCCCUUUAAAACCAUAUUAAAAAGGGAAUAUCGACCUCACUUGGUGAUGGCAUUUGCAAUCCCGUUUUUCCAACAGCUUACAGGGAUCAAUAUUGUAGCCUUUUAUUCACCCAACCUCUUUCACUCUGUGGGUUU
rnacentral:lncRNA from 1 species